AUAAAGUAAGCUAAUUAUAAGCUAGUGGGUUCAUACCCCAACAAUGAAUAAAUUUCCUUUAUU
rnacentral:tRNA from 1 species